AUUGAACGCUGGCGGCAUGCCUUACACGUGCAAGUCGAACGGCAGCACGGGAGCAAUCCUGGUGGCGAGUGGCGAACGGGUGAGUAAUAUAUCGGAACGUGCCCGGUCGUGGGGGAUAACCGUAGCGAAAGCUACGCUAAUACCGCAUACGAUCUACGGAUGAAAGCGGGGGAUCGCAAGACCUCGCGCGAUUGGAGCGGCCGAUAUCAGGUUAGGUAGUUGGUGAGGUAAAGGCGUCACCAAGCCGACGAUCUGUAGCUGGUCUGAGAGGACGACCAGCCACACUGGGACUGAGACACGGCCCAGACUCCUACGGAGGCAGCAGUGGGGAAUUUUGGGACAAUGGGCGCAAGCCUGAUCCAGCAAUGCCGCGUGCAGGAUGAAGGCCU
rnacentral:rRNA from 1 species